CGCUGGCUGACAGAGCAGAGAGCUCAAUGCCCUCAUUGCCGUGCUCCACUCCAGCUACGAGAACUAGUAAACUGUCGUUGGGCAGAGGAAGUAACACAGCAGCUUGAUACUCUUCAACUCUGCAGUCUCACCAAACAUGAAGAAAAUGAAAAGGACAAAUGUGAAAAUCACCAUGAAAAACUUAGUGUAUUUUGCUGGACUUGUAAGAAGUGUAUCUGCCAUCAGUGUGCACUUUGGGGAGGAAUG